CUCUCCGGGUCCCUGUCGGUGCUCCGCGGUCUCGGCUUCUCUUUCUUACCACCGCUCCGAGCGCGACACCCUCCCGGGCUCCCUCUUCGCGAGGACUAACUUCUCUUCUCCGAAGGGGCCGGUAACCCUGACCUUCGGCGGCGGCGGAUGCGGAGAACGGGGGUGGGGGGAUAGGUGAGGGUGGAUUUUGGGAUCGAUCUGGGGGGAGUGUGUCGGCGGGUACGGGGAGGAGCGGACUCGCGGCGGGGGCGGGGAGAGUUACCGCGAGGUCGAAGCGGCGGAGGAGGGCGUGCCGAUGCGCGUGGCGCGGCAGUGGGAGCGGUGGUUCGGCGACGGCGGCCGCGGCCGGUACGAAGUGAAACCCUGAAGGGUCUCUAUGAGUACGAGGAAGUACGGAAUAAGCGGAAAGGCAGGAACAGUUUACACACCUCAGCGUCAUGCCUUAUCAAGUUGCUCCUUUUACAGAGAUUCUUUAUCGAGAGUCGAGCGGGAUGUCGAGUCUUCGUCACGUAAAAAAUGAUGACCCGAGAGCCCCAUGGUGUCAAGACAUUCAAGGUCCCGACGUCGACAGGCACCUCAACGAAAUUUCCGAUGGUCAUCACAAUUAAGUGCCGAGAAGAGCUGACGUAUACCAUUUUUAAAUUCCGAAGAGUAAUCUUUAUUCUCGAGUAAAUCGGUAGGUUUAUAUUUAUCCCUUCUACCCUCACGACGGGUAUCAAUGAAGGUAUCUAGACUCUCUGCAUUUUCGUGUGAUCGACGCACAUCGUGGUAGCGACUACUCCGAAGGUGUAGAUGAUCGUUCACGUCACUCUCACCAUGUCUAUGAUUUUUCCUGUAACGCUUCUUCUUCUUAAGAUCUCCGUCGUUUUUUCUUCAAUCACGUCUACACUUUCUCUUCUUUCAAAGAUGGUUCUUUUUCUCGUGAAGACGAUUUUGAUCAUUUUGUCGUCGUUUCUGUUGACUCUUUCGAUCACGCUUCGUUCUUCUUUUCUUCCAGCUGCGUAGAUUUGGUUUCUUUCCCCAACCAUCAAGGUUUCUCUUUUUUUGUCAUUGGUCUAGCUUCUUUGGACACUUUCGUUUCCUUAGUCGACGAUAACGUCGGCGACUUCGGUUCUUAACGUACUUCUGGUGACAACUAUCAAGACCAUCGCUCUCCUCCGGUGAACAUGGAGAAAUGGGGGGCCAUCGAUUUAGUCAUCAACAACAACUUAGUCGAUGUUUUCGUUUUCAAUAAGUUUUUAUGGAACCCCUGUACAUACUUCAUAAUGGAUCGAUACCAGUACACUCUCUAGAUCGACCUUCCAGUUUUAGACAGGCGGGACUACUACUGAAGUCGUACCAUACCCUCCACGGAUGACGACGGACCUGUGUGGAAUUUUCGUAAUUUCAACGUAACUUUCCUCGUCUUUUAAACUAAGAGCGAAGACUGGGACUGGCACUUCCACUUCGUUAACGAACCGUGUAUUUCCUUUACGAACUUGUCGUCGUCCUACACAACCCAAGGGUACAAUGACAACGUUCUCAACAGAAGGUACUUUAAUGCCUCCUACGAUAAUUUUUGCGAAAUUACAGAGGUUCUAUAUAACUAUACCUGAAUCAAUUACGAAUGGAACGUGCAGCAAGGGAACUAAUAAACUAACCCAAACCGUAUAGUGGUGAAAAUACCUCCUUCAACGGACCAACAGUCAGUCGACCUGCUCAGGUUAGACGUCGAAACCGAGAACAUACACUAGCCCUCUGACUUUAUCUUGCCAAAUCGGGCGUCCUUAUAACCUGACAACUAUGACUUAAGUUUUGGGUCACAAGCCUAAGAAGUUUUCCGGAUACAGAAUGUAGGGCCUAUUUCGAAGAGUUAAGUUUUUUCAACCUAGUCGAAAGAUAUUCGAGAGUUCUUCUUCGUGCUCGUUAUCUUUUCUCCUAAAUAAGAACGGUUAAGCUUCAUUCUCCACAAUUCUCUUCGUUUUAAACGUUCUUAGGAGGUUACGGUAUAUAUUGUAGGUCGGAAGUCGUCCUACGUCGUUUGUUUGAUGUAAAACCACGUCCCGCAUGGUACUUCCAUCGGGUCUUCGAAAUACUUCCCUAGUCAGAAAGCAGUCUUGUUUGUUGCCCCAAUUAUUGCAUGGAGUCUUGUCUGCCCAAAGUAUAAAGACUACCUCGGCGUCUUCUAUAAGCAAGCAAUCACUUUCUUUCCAUACCUUUCGUCAUACGUGGUCUCCUAUAAUCCUUCAUGAACUUAUUCCACUUUUUACGAGUUCUCCGGGUACUUCGGUAUUCCGGGUGGUCGUAUUCCUCCAACGGUAGUAGAAACUAACCUUAUGAACUGCUCCUAAGAAACUUUGACAUGUGAGAUUAUACCUCUUCUUGUUACCGAACGGUUUACCUUCGAAGUUCCUGACUCGACUAAGUUCAACUGUAAUCAUUAGGACUUCCGCUGUACUAAAAAGUAAGUAGACGUAGUUCCGAACUGAAGUUCCCCAUGGUUCGGCAGAUACUCCUGUGACUUCGUUCACCCAGGUCACUUUCGGGACUUCCUCUUCGACGUGUAGUCCUAUUAAAACUCCGGAACAGGUUUAAUUUCUACUUUCUAAACCGCAGAGGGCAAUUGCACUUAGAACCCGUCGUGAAAUGAUUUGGAGGUAGGGCAAUAAGACUCCCACGUAACUAUUUUUUCUACCUCCUUGAACCUUAACCUUCCGGCAGAUGCAUGCGGAGAUAUUACUCCCACAACGUCCUGGCCUUUAUGCACUGUUAUUUUUCAGCUCAAGACGUGGGACUCAAAGCACCAGCUUACCAGAGUCGUAAAGAAAGUGUAGAAAAGAGACUCUAACGGCUAAUGUCGAAAUGACGAUUGUACCUCUGUCUCGAUCUGUUACAGAGACGACCAAGUUGACUUACCUUCCCGGAGGACUGUCUAAUGACCCUUGCUAAGUCGUUUAUGACGUGUCUACGAUCAGUUACCCUACAAUCUUUCCAUCUCUCUUACGAACUUCUCUUUAAGGAAGGAUAGGAGAAAGGACUGGAACUGUGGCUAUCAUCCCAAACGGGAUCAACAAGACUUCCCUGGGACUCUAAAUUUCAAUCAUCCAUGCCACUUCCGAUAAAAUAUCCGACACUGGCUGUAGGCUUUACGUUCAUGUAGCGGGCGUGUAAUAGUCUACUUCUACUGCUUUUACUUUGGAGGCUCCUUUGAGGCUUCAGAAAACUUGGAGCCAAUGAACCACAGUUCGGACUAUGUUUGCUUUUCCAGAAGAAUUUUGUUCCAGGAAUACCAAUGAUGUAGGUCCAACCUCUCCUAUCCUUUCCUCGCAGGGUCUUUUCCCGAGGAUAAAGGCUCCAGUUUCUAUAAUUGAGAUAGUGGUAGCUUCUACGUUAACUCGAUAACGUCAUAGGUUUUCAAGACCCCUUUGUAGGACUACUACUCGUAGGACAUGAAUACUGUGUAAGAUUUCGACCUAAAUCGCAGGCCGUGUCCUCUUCGGAACGAGGUCACGGUUUCUGAGUGCUGGGUUUCUUCCAAUGUGAACUCGCACGUGACUUCAUAGACUGCCCAUUUUUACAGUUUUUCAAACCAGCUGGUUUCCCUUUUUGAUUGUUUUUACGCCUUGGGUAACUUACCGUAAUUCACUAGUCGACAGUGUCUACGUUACAACUUUCAACGUGUCCGAGGCUUAUUGUUUCCAGUUAAAGUUCGAGCACGUGUUUUAAGUCUCACCUAGUCACCAUUCUUACUCGUCAGUCAUAAAUAAGUUGACGAAUACACACGGAUCGACGACGGCUAUUAAGGGCCGUUACGAAAAACUACUACUACCCGGAGGUACGCACUUUCCUGUCGACCAGUGUUGAUUAUUCGUAUAUUUUGUACACGCGUACGCGAGUACAGAAAACUCAACAUAAAAAACGACAUAAAGAGGUAUUAGGGGGUAUUUUCUCUCCUAUAUGUGCGUCUACUCGUUGUAGAGAGACGCGAAGUAAGAAAAUACCCAGUGGCAGUCGUCGACAUAUCUUUUGUGUCUACUGCCCGUUGAAUGGUCUAAUAUAUGUGGGUAUCAAAAAAAAACGGUGAUUGUAAAACAUCGUAAGAAUUCGACGAUUACAGUAGUAUUUUAGGGCACCAGCUAAGUUCACCGGUGGGAAAACAAAGAAACGUUUACAUAGGACGGCGUCGUUUAUUACAUUUUAAAUUUCUUUCAAAAUCACCGAACCAAAUCUCCAGUGACUAACAACCAAAUAUGAUAGACUGAACAUUUGAUCGUAUAAGAACCCGUUUCCUCUUUCCUGAUAACUCACUAGCGGCGUAAACUACGGUUAACUACUGUACUAUCGAGUAUUUAGUCAUGCGGUAAAAAAGUGUAACCACGUAGUAAACGUACCAACCUAUGAACCUAGCCUAGUCUAAGUGAACUUCUGACGGAAAUAAAUUUCUACUGUUUCCUCUCGACCACCAAGUUGUCGGCUAUCUUUAAUUGG
rnacentral:rRNA from 1 species